rnacentral:rRNA from 1 species
AUUGAACGCUGGCGGCAGGCCUAACACAUGCAAGUCGAGCGAGCGGCGGACGGGUGAGGAAUGUAUGGGGACUGCCCGCUAGAGGGGGAUAACAACUGGAAACGGUAGAUAAUACCGCAGAUUAUCGGAUAACCCAUAUGGGAUUAGCUAGUAGGUGAGGUAAUGGCUCACCUAGGCGACGAGCCCUAGCUGGUCUGAGAGGAUGCGCAGCCACACUGGGACUGAGACACGGCCCAGACUCCUACGGAGGCAGCAGGGGGGAAUAUUGCACAAUGGGCGCAAGCCUGAUGCAGCCAUGCCGCGUGUAUGAAGAAGGCCCUAGGGUUGUAAAGUACUUUCAGUCAGUAGGCGUUACUGGCAGAAGAAGCACCGGCUAACUCCGUGCCAGCAGUCGCGGUAAUUC